UACGGAGGAUGCGAGCGUUAUCCGGAUUUAUUGGGUUUAAAGGGAGCGCAGGCUGCGAGGCAAGUCAGCGGUCAAAUGUCGGGGCUCAACCCCGGUCUGCCGUUGAAACUGUCUUGCUAGAGUUCGAGUGAGGUAUGCGGAAUGCGUUGUGUAGCGGUGAAAUGCAUAGAUAUGACGCAGAACUCCGAUUGCGAAGGCAGCAUACCAACUCGCGACUGACGCUGAGGCUCGAAAGCGUGGGUAUCGAACAGG
rnacentral:rRNA from 1 species